AACCCGACUACAUGAAGCUGGAAUCGCUAGUAAUCGCGGAUCAGAAUGCCGCGGUGAAUACGUUCCCGGGUCUUGUACACACCGCCCGUCACACCAUGGGAGUCGGAAAUGCCCGAAGUCUGUGACCUAACCGAGAGGGAGGAGCAGCCGAAGGCAGGUCUGAUGACUGGGGUGAAGUCGUAACAAGGUAAC
rnacentral:rRNA from 1 species